CGAACGAGCCCAUGCUUUAAACACCUCUAUAUAUAGCACCAACUGGAGCCAGGAUUACAUUAACACGACACAGGAAGGAACAUCACCCUCAUCAUGGCUGGAGCUCCGUGCUUCCAGGAGUUAUUCUCGAACUUGAUAAAGAAGCUGAAGGAAAUGGAGAAGGUGAAGGAGGUGAGCGGUCACUUUGGUCCUACACACAGCAUAGAGGAUAUGUUCUCUUAUCUCUGGGGGCUAGAGGAAGCUCACACUUACCUUCAACCGACUGUGUUUGGUUCAGGUAAAUCUGACGCCGAGGCAGAAAGACUCCGUGCUGAAGGCAAUAGAUUCUACCAGAGAAAAUUCCUUGAUAAAGCUUUAAAACUGUAUAAUCUUAGUAUAAUGUCCGCCCCACAUCCUAGGGUCAGUGACGACAUCAAAACUGAUAAUUUAACUGAAAUUUUUGAUAGCACUAAUGAAGAUGCAUUUAGAUCCUUAGCUCUCGGAUAUGCUAAUAGAUCUGCCGUGUUGUUUGAGCUGGAACAGUACGGUAGAUGUGUAAGUGAUAUAGAUAAAGCACUCAGGUACGGUUACCCAAAGCUAUUACACAGUAAGCUAGCGGAGAGAAAAGCAAAAUGUCUCAUUGCUCAGAGGAAAGAAAAUGAAGCAAAGGAAUUAUUAGAGUCUUCACUUCAAGCCUUAGAUGCUAUGUCACUGGAUGAAUCACAAACUAAGUCAUCCAGAGAUGCUUUAUGUCAACUCCUACAACACUGCCGGACAGAUGAAGGUUCAGUUGGCUCGUCAGUGAAACCAGAUAACACUGAUACACCAUUAUCCUUAUCAUCAGCUACCAAAGAGAAGUUAUUAUUUGCUUAUGAAACUCCCAAGCCGCCAGAACUCUCACACCCCAGCUCCACCAUUCCGUCACUGAGCAGCGCUGUCAGACUGGCCUUCUCUCCAUCCCAGGGGCGCUAUCUUGUGGCCGAGAGAGACAUUAAACCCGGUGAGGUGUUGGUGGUAGAGGAAGGGUAUAGUAGAGUCCUUCAGUUAGACUCCUCCUUGCGUACCCACUGCUCUGGUUGCCUCGCCCGAUGUCUUCAUCCAUUGCCGUGCCCUUCCUGCUCAAAAGUUAUCUUCUGUAGCAGUGAGUGUCAAGUACGAGGUCUCACAUCAUAUCACAGUCGAGAAUGUGGCGUACUUCCCGCCCUGACUGCCCUAGACAUGGGUAAAAACUCUGUAUUGGCCUAUAGGAUACUUAUACAAACUUCCUUUACUCGACUAAAAGACGAGGUGCCGGUCUACCUCGGUGAAGCAGCUGAACGUACGCCAGAGAGACUUGGGUUUAACGACAGAGGAAUAUACGACUCCACCGACUAUAGAACCAUCUACCAUCUUGUGACCAAUAAAGAGAGUCGUUCUGUAAGCGACCUGUUCAAGAGGUGCGCCAUGGCCCUAACGUUAACCAAAUUACUGCAAGAGAGUCGACGGUUCUUUGUUGACGCGGCUGGUGAACCCUUUAUCCCCAGUCAUGAGGAUCUGGUGGUUGCUGGUUCCACACUCUUGGUCCAUAUGAUGAACUUACCUUGCAAUGCUCACUCCAUCACUGAGUUACAGAAAACUUGAAAUACCAGACCCAACUGAGCAAGGAGUAAAUCUUUGACUUAUAUUCCACAAUUACCACAACAGGUGCACUCUUUUCUGUGUGCCUAAUGUGGCGGUGAUAUACGGUGGAUGUCAGUAAUUUUCAGAAGAGCGCCUCUCAAGAAAUUGGUUGCGGAUCUUUCGGAGUGUUGAGUUUGACUAACCACUCGUGUAAUCCAGCCGCUGCCCGCUCCAGCUACGGCAGUGUUGUGGUCCUCCG
rnacentral:misc_RNA from 1 species